rnacentral:rRNA from 1 species
ACUACGGGGUGCAGCAGUGAGGAAUAUUGGUCAAUGGGCGGGAGCCUGAACCAGCCAAGUCGCGUGAGGGAAGACGGUCCUACGGAUUGUAAACCUCUUUUGCCGGGGAGCAACGGGGUCCUUGCGCGGGCCCAAUGAGAGUACCCGGAGAAAAAGCAUCGGCUAACUCCGUGCCAGCAGCCGCGGUAAUACGGGGAAUGCGAGCGUUAUCCGGAUUUAUUGGGUUUAAAGGGUGCGUAGGCGGUCUGUUAAGUCAUCGGUCAAAUGUAGGGGCUCAACCCCGGCCUGCCGUUGAAACUGGCGGCCUCGAGUGGGCGAGAAGUAGGCGGAAUGCGUGGUGUAGCGGUGAAAUGCAUAGAUAUCACGCAGAACUCCGAUUGCGAAGGCAGCAUACCGGCGCCCUACUGACGCUGAGGCACGAAAGCGUGGGUAUCGAACAGGAUUAGAUACCCGUGUAGUC